GACGAACGCUGGCGGCGUGCUUAACACAUGCAAGUCGAACGGUAAGGCCCUUGGGGGUACACGAGUGGCGAACGGGUGAGUAACACGUGGGUGACCUGCCCCCUACUCUGGGAUAAGCCUGGGAAACUGGGUCUAAUACCGGAUAUGACCUUGCGCUGCAUGGCGUUGGGUGGAAAGUUUUUCGGUGGGGGAUGGGCCCGCGGCCUAUCAGCUUGUUGGUGGGGUGAUGGCCUACCAAGGCUUCGACGGGUAGCCGGCCUGAGAGGGCGUCCGGCCACACUGGGACUGAGACACGGCCCAGACUCCUACGGGAGGCAGCAGUGGGGAAUAUUGCGCAAUGGGCGGAAGCCUGACGCAGCGACGCCGCGUGGGGGAUGACGGCCUUCGGGUUGUAAACCUCUUUCAGCAGGGAAGAAGCGAAAGUGACGGUACCUGCAGAAGAAGCACCGGCUAACUACGUGCCAGCCGCCGCCGUAAGAC
rnacentral:rRNA from 1 species